UUAUAUAGUCCCUUCAAUUAAGUGACCUAGAGAAUAAAAGGCCUUUCUUUCAACAUAUGGCCGGCCAUCUUAGGGCUUUUGGGCUGUUUGGGCCCUCUUGAAUCUUUAUUCAUUAAGUUGUCAUACAACUUAAGUUAAUGGACUUGACAUUCGACGCCCAUUGGGCCUUAAUGCCCAAAACUAACUUGAGGUCUUUGACGAACUUUAUUCGUUUGAUUAAUUAAUAUAUUAAUUAAUCCUUGCCAUAAAUAAUUAAACCAUUUAAUUAUCCUUAUCUCCAUUGUUUCUUCAAUCUACCUUAUACGGUGUACGAUCCAUUAGGUUCCUUUUAGUGAGGCAGUGGGCGAUUAGAACUCUUUCAAAUCGAUUGUGAAUUGAAACUUACUUUCAAUUCUACCUUUAGUGAUUAUACACGUUUAGGGCUUCCACAAACCAUGAGUGACACCUAACAGUAUGUCAUGGUUACCCAAGCUAAUCAGAAGAGGUGGAGAACCUAUUCAGUUUAGGAUUACAAUGCAAUACGGUCUUUCUCUAAUACAAUACUCUUGACCACAUUGUUCGGUUUGAUAGUUUAAUCAUGUCUACUAUCCAAUGUGAUUCAUUUACUUAUAUGAUUACCUUGAAUGUGAUUUGGAACGUCUUCCUAAAUCUCAUUCAUACUCUGGCCAGAGAUUCUUAAUCAUAUCAUAGAGUAUUCUCCCUUAAACGGUUUGAAGGUUAGAUAUCCCUUGUUGCGCAUUCACUUGCCUCCAUGGCUAAGUGGCUUAACCCUAACUAUGCCGUGGACACCCUCUGACAGAGUGACUUUGACAUAGUGAAAGAUCAAUGACCUAACCACAAGACAACUAUGAUGCCUCAGGUCAAAAGACUACUUUGCAUUAUCCCUACCAUGAGUUCUCAAGUGACAUGAGUAUGAGAACUCCUCGUUGAUCGUGUUCAGUGGACUCAUUCUCUAUUGAGCACCUACAUGCUUGUCUUAGUGUUAAUCACACCAAUGACUCGAGACCAGUCACUCUCUCUAAGAGAAGACACAGCACGUUCUGAUCUUAACGGACUGUCAAUACCUAAUUGGCAAUCCUAUGAUCAAGAAUGUUUAGGAUAUUUAUACGAAAAAGAAUGGUCUCAUGAAUCCGACUUCUUUAAAUUACAUUCUCCUAAUUACAUAUUCCUUAGACUUAUCGUUUAAGCAUAUAACAUUUAUAUGAGACGGCUUAAAACAAUAAUCUUUGCCCUUGAUAUUAAACUAGAUUAGUUUAACAUGUGAAAUGUCCGUAAAGUAUCAUCAUAUGAUUGGUUUUAGGGCACAUUUCCAACAAUCUCCCACUUACACUAGAGGCAAUCAACUUGGUCAUCAAUGAUAUCUAUAUGUUAUCCAUAUGUUAUCCAUAGAAGCAACCUUGAGAAUAAUGACGUCACCAUUAUACAUGAUUCUUAAUCAUGUGGUUUAGUCUCUCAUUUGAGUUUGGAUCACGAUGAGACCUUGAUUCCCUGGCUUGAGCUAUCGCCCCAUUAGUGUCGUAGUGUCGGUACACUAGAGACACUUUCUGGUUGGAACCGAAUAGAGAGUUCAUGGAUGAACUUUCUUAUCCAAACAACCUUGUUGUAAGCUUCUAUAUGGCAAUAUAUUUUGCAUUCACAAUGGAACACACUAAAGUCAUUACUUUUAAUGUUUCCAUCCAAAUAUCUCUUUAGUCAUAAUAAAGAGAUAUCUGAUUAUCUCUUCAUUCAUAAUGAAGAAACAUCCAAUGAUGGAUUAGAUUUAUAAUCUAAUACAUUUACACUUCCAUUACGUUACUCUAAUUCUUCCUCAUUCUUGAGGAAUCCAUCCUUUAUUAUUUCUCAAAUACUUAAGGAUUCACUUGACAGUUGCCAUGAUUCUGAUCCUGGGCUUGCAUUGAUAUCAUCUUGUACCGAUCUUGGUACAACUUAUAUCAACGUUUUUCAUACAAUAUGAAAUACAUAAAUCACCUUUUGCGUAUACAUAAAGGAUUCUCUAUUUACGCAUUAUUUCUUUGGGAGUCAAAGGGUACGUUCCCUUUGAGAAGAGCUACCUCCUAGUCUUACUAGAGUUGUUUUUCUGAUUAAAGUUUAUCAUCAUAUGAGAAACUUCCUAGCAUCUUUUGUCUAUCUUUAGGGCUUGAUAUAAUCCAAUUAUAUCCUGAAAUCUAUCAUUAUAGAUUUCCAUCCCAUGUUUAUAGACUAUGUCUCCCAUAUACAUUCUAUCGUUAUAGAAUGUUUAAAGUCAUAACUUUAACGAAGAAGUAUUCUUUUCAUUUCCAAAAUUAAUAUAUCAUAUAUGUGUAUAUAUAUAUUCAAAAUUUAGGAACAUGAUUAACUCCCACUAAUCUUUUGUAAACCUAGUAAACAAAAGAUUUAUUUACAUCUUUACGAGAAAUCAAACGAUUUGAUCUUUCUCUCAUAAGACGCUUAUAGCUCCCACUAGCUUGCUAAGAUUCAUGAUGGAUGAAUCUCUACAACUUACAUGUCUUGUGAUUCAUAGUUUUAGACAUAUAUUAUCAAGACUAUCUUAAUAAUGGUUUCGGAAACCCAUAUUAUGUCCAAACAUUGAAUCACCAUUUAGUUGUAGCUAGCAAUCUUCGAAUUAAUUGAAACCAAGACGACGUCAAAGAUGGUUUCUUCAAAGUCAACCAAUCUCUUUGAUUGUAGUCACCUUAAGAUACCAAUUAGCUAUAAAGGUUUCAUUAUUUCGGGUCAAAUGGUACUUUACCAUUUCCUUGAGUAUAUGUCGUAUAUACACUCAAUGUAGUCAUAAGGAUUUUCAUUCUUAUUUCUUUCGAAUUAAGAGGUGUAACUCUAUGACAUAAUCAUAAAGUUCAAACCAUUCAACUGAGAUAGUUUAUAAAUCCUUCUCGACUACCUUGGAGCUUGUGGUAUAGGAACUAGGUUGUUAUAUUUGUUGAUCACUUUCUUGUCUCUCAAAGAACCCAUUCUUUGAGUUCUAUCCCUCGUUCAUUUGCUCUAUCUUAGGCAAAUCCUAGUGUAGGAUUACAAUGAACUACCCAACAAACAACAUUUGUUAGUUGGUUUAUAGAAGUGAUAUCCAAAUGUUAAUUUAAGGAUACCCACAAGAUAAUUCUUUAAACAAAUAUUGCUUAUUAGCACACAACCCCAAAUCUUAACAUGAUUAAGAUUUGUCUUUCUUUCCAACUACAUGCUAUGGAGUCAUGAAAAUUUUGGAAGAUCUUCUAAUUGACAAUCAUAUUGUCUUAGAAGUAUAUAUCCUAUAUAUCGGUAAUUGAUAACAUCCAACGAACUAAAUCUUAUUCGAGUUCAUUCUUCUCUUAAUGGAGAAAUCCAUUAUCUUAUGAUGCUUCUUGCCUUGAUAUCUUUCAAGGAAACUGUUCUAAAGUGUUACCUUUCCUUGGAUCAAAUCUAAGGAGGUAAAUACUUUAGACAUCUUACUCAUCAACUUACAUUUCUUGAAUUCUUUGAAACCUUUUGCAAAGUAUUCGGACUUGUGUUUAUUCAAAAUAAAUGAUAGUCCAACCGAGAGCGAUCUUCGGUGAAUGUCAUACAACAUGAGUAGUAUUAUGUUGUGGACAAGUGCCACUAACAUCUAAGUGAAUUGACCUCAACAAUUUUGCUCUAUACAAUUUUUACAAGAAGGUAUUUGAUCCAGAUCUAACGAUCCAAAGCAUCCAUCUAUGACCAACUCGUAAUUUAUGUUUUAGAGGUAUCACAACUCAGUUGGGAUUAGUCACUACCUUGCAACCUUUUGGGUUUUAAGCAUUGUUAUAUUCUAAACAGUUAAUACUACCAUAUCAUCUCUACUAUAGAGAUAAUCAAUUAGAUUACAAUAAUCUAAUCAUUCAUUAAUAAAGAACAAUGUUUUGUCAAACAAAACAUUCAUCCAUUUCUCAUACGGAAUUAAGUUCCUUUAUUCAAAUUGGAAUGUAAAGACAAUCUUUGUUUUUCCAUUUUCUUUGGUAGUUCAUAUGAGGAAGUAAGUACUACCUGCUUUCACAGAGAUCUAUAUUUGAUUCACGUUUCGAAUGUGAAGUACUUUAUCUUCUCUCAUUAAUCUUCUACUUCUUAUUAGCCACACUUUUCAACGAUUGUAAAACAUAGUUACUAAUACGGAAUCAAGCAUUCAAGUAGAAGAACUAACUGUUUUGAACUAUUCAAGAACAAUUUACAACACCUUCGAAAGGUGUGUUCUUGAUACUUGCAAGACAUUUCUUGCAAAUACCCCUUCCAAUGUCCAUCCUUUCAUAAAGAAAGUUUGUUACCUUGUAGUUAUUUCGCCUUCUUCAUUUGACUUCUCCUUUGACUACAAUAGUCAUGGUCCCUAAACUCCCACUAUCUCUCUUGAAACUUAUUUCAAUUGUGUUAUAUACAUCAAACAAUUUGGAGAGCGUGUGGUUAUUGUUCACUAUAUAGUUUACAAUAAACUUAGUGAACCAUUUGGAUAGGGACACAAAGGUGAAGUCCUUGCCUAGUUUCCAUCUCUAGAAGUGGUUUAACACUUCAACACUCAAUGAUUCAAAAUCAUCAUAAGUCCAUGUUGAUGGACUAUUUUUGUCAACCAACCAUUAUGUUCUAAACAUAAUUACAAACUUUCAAGAGUUGUUCAAGGCAACUCUGAUUUCUUCAUACAACAAUUUGUCAAUGAAGAAUCAUGGCACAUAAAGUGUCCAUGCCCUUGUGUUUACUUCAAGUUCCUUGUUCAUGUAACAAAGAAACAAGCACUAAUGUUUGCGUUAGCUAAGGGUUGUUCAAAGCAACUCUUAUUUCUUCAUACCACAAUCUGUAAUUGAAGAAUUAUGACAUUAAAAUGUUGUCCUCUUUAUGAUAGACUUAUCUAACAUGUUCUUCCCAUGAUACAUUAUCAAUAGGAAGAUUGUGAGGAUGAGACUACUUAGGUACAUAUACAAGCCAUUAUAGACAAUCUACGGGAUUGUAGCACCAAGUCCGGAAACUAAAGCUUUCGGCUUUUUCUUUGUCAAGUUUUGGAUAGCGUUUGCAAAUAUAUUGGUAAAUAAAUACAUAACGAAUAUAAAUUGAUUGAUUUUAAGCCAUUUGAUCAGGGUCUUUAAAUCAAAUAGCACCACCCACUAUUUUUGGCAAAUUCCAUAUCCCUUAUUGGAAUUCGAGAGUUUUGGAGGAAACUCUUAGUAGGGUAUGGGAGACUCAUCAUUACCAAGCCCACCUCACAAUGAUAUGAUAUUGGCUAGCAUCAAUAAUAAUGAGAGAGUACGCUUACUCAUUUGCAUCUCUUGCAAGUACCCAUCUUAUUUGGCCUCUAGAGAAUGAAGCCUCACAAUGAUAUGAUGUUGGCUCCAUUGCACUUAGUUAAGUCAUUCCCACCAUGCAAGUUCGAGUAGGGGUUCAAGAACAACCUCACAAUGAUAUGAUGUGGAUCAUUCUCGUUGCCGACCUUCACAACAUCAUGUAUGCAUAUAGAACUCCUCCUGAGUGUAAGCACGCACUUUGUACUCCCCCAUGAUAGGGUGAAGUCGGUGUACGAGUCACAAACGAUCGGAGCCUACCACGGUGGAAGGCCACGAAAGAGUGUUCAAAGCACUCUCACGCUUAUCAACUUAAUAAUGGUUUGGUUGAGGGUUUUAGGUCUCAUCACAUAUAAGCAUGCAUUUUAAUCUUAUUAAAACAAUUUGGUCCUAUUGCAACUAUUGGUCCAUGUGAUUGAUUUAGUUGUACAUGAUACUCCCACUAUGCUUGUAAAACGAUUUUUAAAGCAAGAGUAUAUGGUACUACUAACAUAAGGUUUGCAUUCAUUGAUGGACUAUAUAGUUGCCUUAAGGCCUUAGGAUGACUAUGAUUGAUUCGAUCCAACACGAGCCUAGUGUUGAAUCUCGGUCUAGGGAUGGUGAUUGAUUUUAGUUACGUGUUUAAUCAUAUUAAGGCUUGUUUUUCCUAUUGGGCGUUGGACCCAACUACUCCAAUUUCAUGCAUAUCAAAUCAAACAAGAAAGGAGUACUUCAAAGUAAAGAAGACUUUAUGCUCAUUUACAACAUUUGAUCAAAACAAAUUACUUUAAAGUAAAGAAGAGCUUAUGCUCUUUUACAACAUUUGAUCAUAUCAAAUUACAACCAAAAUCUAAUCUACCCAUUCCCAUGGUUCAAACAAAUUUGAGAUGGCCUUUCACAUAGCUCAAUUAUUGUAGGCAUAGGUUCAUAAUCACCCUUUCUUUAAUUAAUUAACACUUUAACUAAUUAAACUUGAAUGCAACUGUUGGAAAUGUGCCCUAAAGCCAAUCAUAUGAUGAUACUUUACGGACAUUUCACAUGUUAAACUAAUCUAGUUUACAUAUAAAGUGCAUAGAUUAUUGUUUGAGCCGUCUCAUAUAAAUGUUAUAUGCUUAAACGAUAAAGUCCAAGGAAUAUGUGAUUGGGAGAAUGUAAUCUAAUGAAGUUAGAUUCGUGAGACCAUUCUUUCGUAGACACAUCCUGAAUGUUCCUGAUCAUAGGAUUGCCAAUUGGGCAUUGACAGUCCGUCAAGAUCAGUACGUGCUAUGUCUUCUCUCAGGGAGAGUGACUAGUCUCGAGUCAUUGGUGUGUGUGACAUCAAGACAAGUACGUAGGUGCUCAGUAGAGAAUGAGUUCACUGAACGCGAUCAACGAAGAGUUCUCAUACUCAUUUCACAUGAGAACUCAUGUUUGGGAUAAUGCAAAUUAGUCCUUUGACCUGAGGCAUCACAGUUGUCUUGUGGUUAAGUCCUUGAUCUUUUAUUAUGUCAAAGUCACCCCAUCGGGGUGUCCACGGCAUCGUUGGGGUUAAGCCACUUAGUUAUGGAGGCAAAUGAAUGCGCAACAAGGGAUCUCUAACCUUCAAACCGUUUGAGGGAGAAUACUCUAUGAUAUGAUUUAGAAUCUCUGGCCAGAGUAUGAAUGAGAUUUAGAAAAGUCGUUCUAAAUCACAUUCAAGGAAAUCAUAUAAGCACACAAAUCACAUUGGAUAGUAGACAUGAAUAAAUAAACUAUCAAACCAAACAAUGUGGUCAGGAGUAUUAGAUUAGAGAAAUACCGUAUUGCAUUUGUAAUCCCAAACUGAAUAGGUUUUCUCUACCUCUUCUGAUUAGCUUGGGUAACCAUGAUAUGCUGCAAGGUGUCACUCAUGGUUUGUGGAAGCCCUAAACGUGUGUAAUCACUAAAGGGAGAAUUGAAAGUAAGUUUCAAUUCACAGUCGAUGUAAAAUGGUUUUAAUCGCCCACUGCCUCGCUAAAAGGAACCUAAUGGAUCGUACACCGUGUAAGGAGGAGAUUGAAGAAACAAUGGAGAUGAGUAAGAAUGAUUAAAUGGUUUAAUCAUUUAUUUAUGGCAAGGAUUAAUUAAUAUGUUAAUUAAUCAAACGAAUAAGUUCGUUAAAGACCUCGGGAUAGUUUUGGACCUUAAGGCCCAAUGGGCUUCGAACGUCAAGCCCAUUAACAUAAGUUGUAUGACAACUUAAUGAAUAAUGAUUCACAAAAAGGCCCAAUUAGUCCAAAAUAUCCUAAUGGCCGGCCAUAUUGGUUAGGGUAGUGAACUUGGACUUAUUUACAAGUUUGCCACUCAAAUGAAUAAAGGUAUAAAUAUGACUUUAUAGCCAAAAUUCAUUAAGGGUUUGUUUUGGAGAAAAUUGGUGAGAACUUGUCUCUCCAUUUCUCUCUAAAGAGGCCGGCCACCUUGGGGGGUGCAUCUUGCAAUCCCACUACUCCAAGGUCACUCAUUUCUUCUCCAAUCUCUCCUUUGGUGAAGAGACUUAGAGGUUCUCAAUUUUGGGAACUUGGAGAAACCUAUUCUUCCAUCCAAAUCCAUAGAUUUUAGAUGCAAGGAAUGAAGGCCCUCUCUUUGGGUGAUUAGCCUUUGCUUAUGCAAAGAGGAAUCUACAAAGGUACAAUUUCAACUCACUUUGUUUUGAGUUGAGUUUUGGUUCACCAAUCUACUAGGCUUUGAAUUUCAUGGUUAAUGUUUUGUUUUUAAGUGCAUGCUAGCAUGAUUCCGCCUUUAAUUGUUAAUUGCAUGCUUAUUGAUGUUGCUUAAAUGAACAUGUUUUCACAAAAUCAUCCUUCAACAACAUUUUCAUUUGGUUUUUGUUUCCAUAGAAUUGAUUUAAAUGGAGCUAAAUGAAAUGAAAAUCCAAUUCUCAUUUAAAAAUACAAAACUAUUUUGUUCUCAACUAAUUUGGGCCAAAUGCAAUAACCUCAACUUUUGGGCUAUGUUGCAAAACACAAACUUUUGAGGUCACUUUGUAAGAACACAAAAGUCCACUACUUCAUGUAAUUACAACUAGAACCCAAAAAUUUCAUCAAAUAUAAAAACUUCAUUAAAGGAGCAAAACAAUUUGUCCUUUAGUGAUUUUGGGCCUUUACGUAAAAACGUAAACUUUCGGGUCAAAGUACAAAUACACAAAAGUAUCAAAACUUUAUGUAAUUGCAUAAAAGCCCCAAAAGUACCCUAUUUUAAUAGGGUGGCCGGUUGGUGAGAGUAAUGGAAAGUACCCUAUUUUCAACAAAAGUGAAAGGUGAUGAGUUGAAAAGGUGAUGGAAAGUUGUAAGAAAGUAGGUGUGGGCAUUGAUGGAAAAUUCAAACCAUCCAUCAUUAACAAAAACUUUAUUCAACAACCACAACUUUUGAAUCAAAAUACCCAACCUUUUUGUUCUUGCCAAAAACAUAAUAAGAACAAUGAAGAACAUCCAUGAAAACCCAUAAGAGCUUCAUGAACAUUUUUCACCCAAAGACACCCCAAAAACUCUUAAACUUAAGGGAAAUAAGAUAUUACCAUACUAGGGUACUUAGGGGUUCCUAAUGUCACUUUAAAACACUUUUAACAAGACAAACAUGAACCCAAAAAUCCACCCUUUGGAUUUGGCCGAAUUUCCCCAAAAACAUUUCACCAAAUUUUAGCUCCAAAAUUCAUGCUCAUAUGAACUACAUCUACAACAUUUGAGACGGCAAAUUUUCUAACAAAAUUUACAUUCAAAGAAGCUAGAAUAAGCUUGUAACAAUUACAACAUUCCAAUCAAAAACUAUGAACUACAAAACCCAAAAGGAUUCACCAACUACUAGACCUAGGCUCUUGAUACCACUUCAAGGAAAUUUUGUGAAAACAUGUUCAUUUGAGCAACAUCUAUGGCAUGCAAUUAACAUUUAAAGGCGGAAUCAUGCUUGUAUGUACUAAAAAACAAAACAUUACCCAUGAAAUUCAAAGCCUAGUAGAAAGGUGAACCAAGACUCAACUCAAGAACAAAGUGAGUUGAGAGAUUUUAUACCUUUGUUGAUUCCUCUUUGCAUAAGCAAAGGCUAAUCACCCAAGGAGAGGGCCUUCAUUCCUUGCUUCUUAGAUCCAUGGAUUUCUUGGAUGAGGAUGGUUGAAAGGAUUCUCCAAGUUCCCAAAGUUGAGAACCUCUAAUUUUUCCACACCAAGGAUUGACUUAAAGAAGAGAUAAGUGACCUUGGAGGAGGAAAGAUUGCUAGCUAAUCUCCUCCAAGAGGGCGGCCUCCUAGAGAGAAAGGGAGAGACAUGUUCUCUCCAAUUUUCUCCAAAAGAAACCCUAAAAGAAUUUUGGCUAUAAAGUUCUUUAUAUAGUCCCUUCAAUUAAGUGACCUAGAGAACAAAAGGCCUUUCUUUCAACAUAUGACCGGCCAUCUUAAGGCUUUUGGGCUGUUUGGGCCCUCUUGAAUCUUUAUUCAUUAAGUUGUCAUACAACUUAAGUUAAUGGUCUUGACAUUCGACGCCCAUUUGGCCUUAAUGCCCAAAACAAACUCGAGGUCUUUAACGAACUUUAUUCGUUUGAUUAAUUAACAUAUUAAUUAAUCCUUGCCAUAAAUAAUUAAACCAUUUAAUUAUCCUUACUUAUCUCCGUUGUUUCCUCAAUCUCUACCUUAUACGGUGUACGAUCCAUUAGGUUUCUUUUAGCGAGGCAGUGGACGAUUAGAACUCUUUCAAAUCGAUUGUGAAUUGAAACUUACUUUCAAUUCUCCCUUUAGUGAUUAUACACGUUAGGGCUUCCACAAACCAUGAGUGAUACGUACCAGUAUGUCAUAGUUACCCAAGCUAAUCAGAAGAGGUGGAGAACCUAUUCAGCUUAGGAUUACAAUGCAAUACGGUCUUUCUCUAAUACAAUACUCUUGACCACAUUGUUUGGUUUGAUAGUUUAA
rnacentral:lncRNA from 1 species